GACGUAGGUGGCGAACGUUAUCCGGAAUUAUUGGGCGUAAAGGGUGCGUAGAUGGCUUGACAAGUUAGUGGUGGGAAAUCGAGGCUCAACCUCGUGGAAGUCACUAAUACUAUCAAACUAGAGUGCAGGAGAGGUUAAUGGAACUCCAUGUGUAGCGGUAAAAUGCGCAGAUAUCAGGAGGAACACCGAUGGCGAAGGCAGGUCUCUGGGCCACUACUGACGCUGAGAAGCGAAAGCAUGGGGAGCGAACAGG
rnacentral:rRNA from 1 species